AGGAGUAACACAGUGGAGAAAAAUGGUACAAGCCUCAUCAGCAUAUUAGGGAUAUAUGUGCAAACAUAUGUAACAUAUCUAUCUAUUCCUCUGCUCUCCAGGAGUUUCAAGAGCCUGGAAGAUCUGCUUGCCUUUGACUCUUGCCUUCAAGCAGGCACAGUUAGGACAUCAAGCUGUCCACAGAGGAACAAGCUCUGGUGGUGGGACGCAGUUUUGUUCCUGGUGAGGAGGAUUGCAAGCACUGGGAUGGCAGCAGCUGAAUCAAAUGCAAAGCAAUCAAGAAACUGCAAGAGGAGGCUCUCUUUCCUUGAGUACGGUUCUACCCAAAUUUGGAACAUCAACAGUAACUACACAAGAUUAAAGAGUAAAAAAUCAGACUAAAAUGAGCACUAACAUACACAAAUUUCCUCCCUUGGGAAGGCACUAGGCUUUUAAACAUUGUAAAGUGAUCAGACCAGGGUAAUGUUUCUGUCCUCAAGCCCAGCCUGCUGGAAAGCAGUGCUGCUGGCUCCCUUUGACCUUUCAUCUCUCACAGAGUGCUAGUGUUGUUUGAAAAUACUCUGGUGCAAACACUGAGUGGUUCCUAGGUUCAUCAUCCACUAACACUCUUAAGUCCAGAAAGCUUGUAUUUAUCUUUUUUUUUUUCAUUUUUCUUUUAAUUCCCAACCUAACAAAUGUUCAUUUAUUCUCUUGAAAUACUUCUAGUAUUGUCUGUCUAGUUAGUUACCUUUGAUUUGUAUAAAACCAGAGAUAGUUGGCUUACGUGCUUGUCAAAUUAAUUUUUGGCAUUACAAAAUUAAGUUGUAAAUGUUCAGAUAUUUUUAAUUCUUUAACACUGAUAUAUCUCAGGAUGGAUCCCCAGGAGAACUGAGCAUGGAGCCAUUGUGUCCAGUGCUUGUUCCCAUACCAAGCCCAGGGGCCUUCCUCAGCCUUCUCUUUUUUGCAGCCUUUUGUUUCUGAAGAGGCUCCAAACACUGCUUAGCUGCCCAACAAGCCCCUCUUUCCCACUCCUUGCAGGGUUUCUCAGUGAUUG
rnacentral:lncRNA from 1 species